CUACGGGUUGCAGCAGUGGGGAAUAUUGGACAAUGGGGGAAACCCUGAUCCAGCAAUGCCGCGUGUGUGAAGAAGGCCUGCGGGUUGUAAAGCACUUUCGGUUGGGAGGACUGCUUCUAGCACUAAUAUUGUUGGAAGUUGACGUUACCUUCAGAAGAAGCACCGGCUAACUCCGUGCCAGCAGCCGCGGUAAUAGCGGAGGGUGCAAGCGUUAAUCGGAAUUACUGGGCGUAAAGCGCGCGUAGGCGGCUAGAUCAGUCGGGUGUGAAAGCCCCGGGCUUAACCUGGGAACUGCAUCCGAUACUGUCUAGCUUGAGUACAGGAGAGGAGAGUGGAAUUCCACAUGUAGCGGUGAAAUGCGUAGAUAUGUGGAGGAACACCAAUGGCGAAGGCAGCUCUCUGGCCUGAUACUGACGCUGAGGUGCGAAAGCGUGGGGAGCAAACAGGAUUAGAUACCCGUGUAGUC
rnacentral:rRNA from 1 species